UCAAAGGAAUUGUGACUUGGGCAUGAAUACUGAAUGAGCUGGUGUCACUGGCCCGUGGGACAUGUGCAGGGGAAUGGAUCCAUGAAGAUGGAGAGGACAAGACUGGGCCAUGUAGACAUUUCUCCUUCUUACAAGAGAUUAUGAGACCCUUUUGGAAGAUAACAGAUGAGGUCAGUUUUCUGCUUUAGGAGAUCACUCAGGCACGGAUGUGGAGGAUGAAUUGGCCAGGCCCAAGGCUACAGUCAUUCAGACGAGAAAUGUGGAAGACCUGAACUGAAGAAUCCAAUGACUAAGGAUCGAGGAACAGGAUUCCAAUGGGGAGAAUCAAUUCUCUUCUGGAAAAGUGCUUUUGCAGAGUAAAAAUCUUACCUCCACCCACGUUUCCAGUCUCCAUCCCAUUUGUGACUUCUCAGUUACUCUACAGCAUUCACAAGCAGUAGGACAUUAAAAUGAGUCUCUUUUGCCUCA